rnacentral:rRNA from 1 species
GAGUUUGAUCUUGGCUCAGGACGAACGCUGGCGGCGCGCUUAACACAUGCAAGUCGAGCGAGAACCAGGCCUUCGGGCUUGGGGAAAGCGGCGAACGGGUGAGUAACACGUGGGUAACCCACCCUUGGUACCGGGAUAGCCCGGGGAAACCCGGAUUAAUACCGGAUGGCCCAACAGCUCUUCGGGGCGGUUGGAAAAGGUAGCUUCGGCCUCCGACCAAGGACGGGCCCGCGGCGGAUUAGCUUGUUGGUGAGGUAACGGCUCACCAAGGCGACGAUCCGUAGCUGGUCUGAGAGGACGAUCAGCCACACUGGGACUGAGACACGGCCCAGACUCCUACGGGAGGCAGCAGUGGGGAAUCUUGCGCAAUGGGCGAAAGCCUGACGCAGCGACGCCGCGUGGGGGAAGAAGGCUUCGGGUUGUAAACCCCUUUCAGGAAGGACGAAGCCACUCGGGUUAAUAGCCCAGAGGGUGACGGUACUUCCAGAAGAAGCCCCGGCUAACUACGUGCC